rnacentral:rRNA from 1 species
GAUGAACGCUGGCGGCGUGCCUAAUACAUGCAAGUCGAGCGAACGGACGAGAAGCUUGCUUCUCUGAUGUUAGCGGCGGACGGGUGAGUAACACGUGGAUAACCUACCUAUAAGACUGGGAUAACUUCGGGAAACCGGAGCUAAUACCGGAUAAUAUUUUGAACCGCAUGGUUCAAAAGUGAAAGACGGUCUUGCUGUCACUUAUAGAUGGAUCCGCGCUGCAUUAGCUAGUUGGUAAGGUAACGGCUUACCAAGGCAACGAUGCAUAGCCGACCUGAGAGGGUGAUCGGCCACACUGGAACUGAGACACGGUCCAGACUCCUACGGGAGGCAGCAGUAGGGAAUCUUCCGCAAAGGGCGAAAGCCUGACGGAGCAACGCCGCGUGAGUGAUGAAGGUCUUCGGAUCGUAAAACUCUGUUAUUAGGGAAGAACAUAUGUGUAAGUUACUGUGCACAUCUUGACGGUACCUAAUCAGAAAGCCACGGCUAACUACGUG